GCUUAUGGCCAUACCACCCUGAGAACGCCCGAUCUCGUCUGAUCUCGGAAGCUAAGCAGGGUCGGUUCUGGUUAGUACUUGGAUGGGAGACCGCCUGGGAAUACCCGGUGCUGUAAGCU
rnacentral:rRNA from 1 species